ACCACUAGAAUCCGCUCUUUUACCAACCGUUUACACCGACCGCCACUUAUGCGGUUGUUAUUAAUCUAAACACCGAUCGUUUUUAUUUGGGACGUUAUUUAGCGUUUGUUUUCUAAAUUCACCGACCGCUUUUAUGUUAGACGCUAAUUACCAACCGAAAUAACGACUGUUUCUAUUAGUCGUUGGUGAAUACCGAUCGCUGAUUAAGAAUACCGACUGUUUAGCGGUCGGUAAAGUCCUAUUAGCAAUUUCAGAUUUUUAACCUCCCACGUUUUCCUUUUCACUCUACCAGUAGUUAAAAAUAACCCUAACGUUUGCGGAGAAACCGACACCUCCCACUCCUCUAUCAUCAUCAUCUUCACGCCUCCCACUGCCGUCGCCGGUUUCUACUUCUCUAUCAUUAUCAUCUUCACGCCUCCCACUGCCGUCGCCGGUUUCUACUUCUCUAUCAUCAUCAUCAGCUUUCACCGUCGUCGCGCCGCACUACUUUUCACCGUCGUCUGCCGCUCGCUUUGUAUCGCCGGCUUCUUCUCCAUCAUCAUCAUCAGGAAAAUUGUUGACGAACCCCCAUCGGAGCCAUCAAAUCCUUAUCAAGACAUGAUUGUUGAUGCUCUUGGACAUAAUGAAGAAAAUCCAAACAAUGAGCAAAUAAAUAAUGUCGAAGAGGAGCUAAAUGACGAAGCUAAGAAAUUUUUUGAGCUCCUUAAAGCUGUCGAUAGCCCGUUGUACGAAGGGAGCAAAGUAUCUGUCUUGGAGAUGGCUUCAAGAAUAAUAUCUUUGAAGUGUGAGUACAAUUUACCACACAGGUGUGUUGAUGGAUUUGCAUCUUUAUUGAAUAAAGUGAUUCCAAAUAACAACCAUAUGAGUACAACGUUCUAUGAUACUAAGAAAGUUCUUAAAGGCUUACAACUCCCACAUGAGAAGAUACAUGCAUGUCGUAACGGUUGUAUGGUAUUUUGGAAAGGCGAUGCACAUUUAAUGAAGUGUAGUGUAUGUGAGUGUGAUCGCUACAAGAAGACUCCUAAAGGCAAGCUUAUUCCAGAAAAGGUCCUAACAUAGUUUCCUAUCAAACCCCGAUUGCAAAGGCUUUAUGCGACAAAGAAUAUUUCAGAGAAAAUAAUAUGGCAUGCCAAAAAGCCUUGUGUUUCGGGUACUAUGGAACAUCCUAGUGAUAGUGAGGCGUGGAAGCAUUUUGAUACCACUUUUCCUGAUUUUGCCUCUGAGACACGUAAUGUUCGAUUAGGUUUGUGCACUGAUGGCUUUUCAACCUUUGGUAAGUUCGGAGGACAAUAUUCUUGUUGGCCAAUAAUUCUUACUCCAUAUAAUUUGCCUCCAUCAAUGUGUAUGAAAAAGCCUUUCAUGUUCC